UGAGCGCUCUUUUGGGACGCAUCAUUCUGAGAUCAUAGUCCAGAGGAUAUAGAGCACAAGUUGGCUUGAGUAACACUUUCAAACAGAAACCUUCAAGGGGAUAAAAAGUUUAGGGCUGGCUGUCCGACCAGAAGGAACAUUUUUUCUUGUGAGGAAAAGYAAUUCAAGCCAUGGAUUUCAAAGUGAUUCUGAUACUUUCACUGUUUGCUGUUGGGAUGGCCGACAUCAACUUGCACAACCCAAGGGGCGGCAACAAUCGUUUGAAUGAGCCAAACAGAGAUCGACGCAAUGCUCGAAGGUUGUUCGAUUCUCAAAACAAUAACCGAGGAGGACACAAUGUCGGAGGGCUGUACUACUACGGGGGGACUACAUUACAGAUACAGUGGU